UACAGAGGGGGCAAGCGUUGUUCGGAAUUACUGGGCGUAAAGGGCGCGUAGGCGGCCUGCUAAGUCACACGUGAAAUCCCUCGGCUCAACCGAGGAAGUGCAUUUCAUACUGCAUGGCUUGAGGGAGACAGGGGUAAGCGGAACUGAUGGUGGAGCGGUGAAAUGCGUUGAUAUCAUCAGGAACACCGGUGGCGAAAGCGGCUUACUGGGUCUCUUCUGACGCUGAGGUACGAAAGCUAGGGUAGCGAACGGG
rnacentral:rRNA from 1 species